rnacentral:rRNA from 1 species
CAGCCGCCACGGGAAUACGUAGGGUGCAAGCGUUAAUCGGAAUUACUGGGCGUAAAGCGUGCGCAGGCAGUUAUAUAAGACAGAUGUGAAAUCCCCGGGCUCAACCUGGGAACUGCAUUUGUGACUGUAUAGCUAGAGUACGGCAGAGGGGGAUGGAAUUCCGCGUGUAGCAGUGAAAUGCGUAGAUAUGCGGAGGAACACCGAUGGCGAAGGCAAUGCCCUGGGCCUGUACUGACGCUCAUGCACGAAAGCGUGGGGAGCAAACAGGAUUAGAUACCCCUGUAGUCCCUGUCUCUUAUAC